GGCCUAGACGCCUUUCCUUCUUCGUACUUCGACGAGGACGACUUCUUCACCGACCAGUCUUCACGGGACCCCCUGGAGGACGGCGAUGAGCUGCUGGCGGACGAGCAGGCCGAGGGUCCCCCUCCCCCAGCGACCCUGAUUAUGGCCUCCCUCCCCUAGCAGGACACUCUCUCUCAUGGACUGAUGAAAAACAACUCAAGGAACAAAAUAUUAUCCGAACAGCCAAAGUCUGGACCCCAGAGGACCCCAGAAAACUCAACAGCAAAUCUUCCUUCAACAACAUAGAAAACGAACCACCAUUUGAGUUUGUGUCCUGAGAAGUCCCAGACUCGGCUGAAGAUCUGAUUAUGUCUCUGUGCAUAUUGUACAUGUAAAUAUCUAUAAUGUAAAUGUAAUUUAAGAAUCAAA
rnacentral:lncRNA from 1 species